GAUGAACGCUGGCGGCGUGCCUAAUACAUGCAAGUCGAGCGAACAGAUGAGGAGCUUGCUCCUCUGACGUUAGCGGCGGACGGGUGAGUAACACGUGGAUAACCUACCUAUAAGACUGGGAUAACUUCGGGAAACCGGAGCUAAUACCGGAUAAUAUAUUGAACCGCAUGGUUCAAUAGUGAAAGACGGUUUUGCUGUCACUUAUAGAUGGAUCCGCGCCGCAUUAGCUAGUUGGUAAGGUAACGGCUUACCAAGGCAACGAUGCGUAGCCGACCUGAGAGGGUGAUCGGCCACACUGGAACUGAGACACGGUCCAGACUCCUAAGGGAGGCAGCAGUAGGGAAUCUUCCGCAAUGGGCGAAAGCCUGACGGAGCAACGCCGCGUGAGUGACGAAGGUCUUCGGAUCGUAAAACUCUGUUAUUAGGGAAGAACAAAUGUGUAAGUAACUAUGCACGUCUUGACGGUACCUAAUCAGAAAGCCACGGCUAACUACGUG
rnacentral:rRNA from 1 species